rnacentral:rRNA from 1 species
AGUCAUAUGCUUGUCUCAAAGAUUAAGCCAUGCAUGUCUCAGUACAAGCCAAAUUAAGGUGAAACCGCGAAAGGCUCAUUAAAUCAGUUAUGGUUCCUUAGAUCGUACCCACAUUUACUUGGAUAACUGUGGUAAUUCUAGAGCUAAUACAUGCAAACAGAGCUCCGACCGGAGACGGAAGGAGCGCUUUUAUUAGAACAAGACCAAUCGGCGGCGGGUUCGCUCGUCGCCGUACACUUGGUGACUCUGAAUAACUUUUUGCUGAUCGCACGGUCUUGCACCGGCGACGCAUCUUUCAAAUGUCUGCCUUAUCAACUGUCGAUGGUAGGUUCUGCGCCUACCAUGGUUGUAACGGGUAACGGGGAAUCAGGGUUCGAUUCCGGAGAGGGAGCCUGAGAAACGGCUACCACAUCCAAGGAAGGCAGCAGGCGCGCAAAUUACCCACUCCCAGCACGGGGAGGUAGUGACGAAAAAUAACGAUACGGGACUCAUCCGAGGCCCCGUAAUCGGAAUGAGUACACUCUAAACCUUUUAACAAGGAUCAAUUGGAGGGCAAGUCUGGUGCCAGCAGCCGCGGUAAUUCCAGCUCCAAUAGCGUAU